rnacentral:rRNA from 1 species
CCUACGGGUGGCAGCAGUGGGGAAUAUUGGGCAAUGGGCGCAAGCCUGACCCAGCAAUGCCGCGUGAAGGAAGAAGGCCUUCGGGUUGUAAACUUCUUUGACAGGGGACGAGCAGAAGACGGUACCCUGAAAACAAGCCACGGUUAACUACGUGCCAGCAGCCGCUGUAAUACGUAGGUGGCAAGUGUUGUCCGGAUUUACUGGGUGUAAAGGGAGUGUAGCCGGGAAGGCAAGUCAGAUGUGAAAUCUGGAGGCUCAACCUCCGAAUUGCAUUUGAAACUGUUUUUCUUGAGUACUGGAGAGGCAGGCGGAAUUCCUGGUGUAGCGGUGAAAUGCGUAGAUAUAAGGAAGAACACCAGUGGCGAAGGCGGUCUGCUGGACAUCAACUGACGGUGAGGCGCGAAAGUGUGGGGAGCAAACAGGAUUAGAUACCCCUGUAGUC